GUUUUGAUAAAUCUCCCCCUAUAUACUGUAUAUAGAAUAUGCAGGGCCGAAUUGAGAACUCAUGCUGCCCUAGGCACCAGGAUUGAAUACACCACAUUAUGGUGAUUCCACAUGUGUCAGUGUCACAAACUCACCCUACUAUCAUUAGAAGAAGAAAAGCUUAACAAACAGUAGUAAACCAGCGAAACCAGUAUCCCCAAUUCCUGCCACCACUGCAGGAUAUGGGAAGCGCAGUAAAUACUUGGACAGUCAGAAAAAGGAGAUUAUAUAAAGUCCUUCAACAAUUUGGAAGACGCCUUUGAGCACUGGCACGGAGCAGAAGAGAAAUAAAAUUAAGAAAUGUCAGGGAUUGUUUAAAGACAGAUGGGAAAAAUGCCAGAGGACAAAGUGAAGUGAAAGAUGCAUAUCUUUCGAGGCUCAAGUCUGCCAUGAAGAACACAAAGGAAGCUGUAUAAGAAGAGUAUGUGCAAAUACAAGGUGAGUUCAUGAAUCAGCUACAAGGAAAUCAAGGCUAUUAGCAAUUUACAGCUGCAUAGUAACAAAGAGUCAAAUCUCAAGGUAACAACAUGCCAUACAGAACAAAAGCGCAGGUACAUGGCGGAAACAAACAGUACUAAGGACACAAUGGGCCCGAAGGGUUAAAACUCAAAAAGCCAAACAUCUGUACAGAUAAAGCAAGCGGAGGACAUUUCAACAUGAAGGACAAAAGGCAAGGACAACAACGAAGACAAAGGAAAACCUCAGCA